GUGCAUCGCAGGCGAGAAGGGGCUGUUCUCCCUGUCGCCGCCGCACCAGGGCAUCGACGGCGAGUGGAGCGACAAGAGCGGGGUCAUCGUGUACCGCUGGAACGACGAGGGGAGCCGGCCCAACACAGGCCGCGCUAACUGGAAGAGGCGCUGGAGCUGCUGCCAGGAGCGCGAGGAGGACGCGCCGCCGUGCCAGCGCGGGUGGCACGUCUCCUACGACGACGGCUACACCCUCUUCUAGGUCUCCCUCUACCCGUGGCCGUGGGGAGCAGCAGGAGAUAUAAUAUAAGUUAAAGCCUGAGGAGGUUGCUGGUAUCAUAAAGGACUUUGAUGAACCUGGUACUCUUGCACCAACUGGUCUUUUCGUUGGAGGUACAAAGUACAUGGUGAUCCAAGGUGAACCUGGAGUUGUCAUCCGAGGAAAGAAGCAUCAGCGGCGUGGUUGUACGUUUGUUGUGUUGCUGUAUCACUCUGCGUCUCUGCAAGUGCUAAACCAGUCACUUUAUGGACGGUGGUUCCUGUGGUCUCGAGGGAGCGUCGGUAGUGACAUCUACUACCAGCGCUGGUAUUCAGCUUCUGCCAGAGAAGCACUGCGCCGAUGAAGCUUGUGGAGCCAUGGCGGGCAGUAAUGGUCCUGAAGGAGUGCCAGUAGUGACUUCUGCUGAUGACCCUCCGACCCGUGCCGAUAUUCCAUUUCUCUGCAAUUCAGUUGAUGAAACAUGUGAAGCCACAGGGGACGACAGUGCUCCCUUGGAUGCUCAGAUAUGUACGGGUUUCUCUAAGUUGAUCAGCUUGGAGGUGAAGAAAGGCCUCCAGAAGUGCGCGACGUUCCCACCCUCGUCUGGUCAGCCUCAGCAGGAGGAUUGUUCAUGCUCCCAUGUAGGUGAUGGCCUCACGGGUGCUCCUGCUUUCUGGCGAUCUGUGUCCUUACCUGUGAGUACCUCAUGUUAAAUUAUUUUACCAUUUGUCUUAAAUGAUUGCUAUUGUACUUAAAGUUCUACUGAUAAGUCGUACGCUCUGUACUUGAAUGAGAUCUUUUGGUUGCGAUCAUUAUGUAUGUUCAAAGUAAUAGAUGGACUCCAUCUUGGUUAUUUUAGUGUUCGCUAGCAGCCUUAAUACCUAAUCAAAUCAGGUUCAUAUUCACUUUCCAGUUUAUCAUGCUCAUACAAAAUUAGCAACCACCUUUUGGAAUGCAAUAAUACUUUGAACUAAUUGAAAGACAUCCUGGUUUUGUUGUGUUGACUGAGUGUUUUCUGGCUAAAGCUGAACACAAACUCACCAUAUAAGCAUUUCUUUCUUUAUUGAUUAUCUUCAAAAAAACAGAGCUCAGUUCCAAUUGUUUAAAGUUGCACAUGACCUGACAUCCGCUGUCCAAAUGUAAUUAAUUGUUUGUUCUUACUUUGGCUAUAUUGGUAAGCUUGCAUGUGAAUUGAAAGCUUGCUCCAAUACUGUAAUUGGUAAUGAAGAAAUGUUUAACAUUUCAGGUGAUAAAUACAUGUGUGAGCUAAAUCUAUUGAUCUGCUUGUUUAUGUAACGGUACUUCAAAACUGUAUCACCGGUUAUGUCUUGGCAUGCUUCUUUACGGAUCUGUUAUCCAUGCAUGGCAGAUAAUAGUUGGCAUUUUAGCAGCACAACAAUAUUUCUAACUAUUAAGUGUUAAUUAUCUAAUGUUAUUUCUAACUAUUAAGUGUUAAUUAUCUAAUGUAUUUAAUGAAGUAACACAGUUAGACUUGCCUAAAGAGGCCAGUGAAGCUUCACUGGCUGCAUAGAGAAGUACUUUUUUAUUAUCAUGUAAAUGCAUGGUUCUUUGGAACCAUUUGGCCUAUCUGAUUAAUUAUUACUAUAACCGGGAAUGGGGGCCCGAGGCUAUAACCCGGACUCCUCGCCCUCGUACCUCGUUGCUGGCGAAGAGCGUCAUCAAUGGCGAGUGGAGGUUCACUACACAGAGGCCGCCGGAUCUUGGAGCAUCAUUCGCGGUCUUGGCGCGUCUACGCAACUGUAUCCUAAGGGCGUCGAAGAGGAGAGACGGUACGCCGGUGGCGACAAGGUACGAUAGAUUUGAACUGGAGUGUGGAGGUAUCGUCGGCCAGUGCCAUCAGCGAUGGGUGGAGGUUUCCGUCGAGUCGAGGAAGGAGCGCUUCGUGUAAAGAUGACGAUGGUGGUAGGGAUCGACGAUAGCGAGCACAACUUCUACACGCUGAAGUGGGCGCACUGCAGCACUUCUUCCCGCCGACCAAGCUGCAACACUACUGCCUUGUUGUCGUCACCGCCAAGCCCUCUGUCGCCUCCAUUGUUCGCCCUGCCAACCUAGGGACUGAUUCUGGACUUUCAACUUAAUGCUUCUCUACCUGUUGUCAUACUGAAGCUACUGCUCCUGGAAGAGCAUCACCAACAUAUCCCUGAUGGCCCUCUCUGCUUCAUGCUCCAAGCACUUGGAUGUUCACCUUGAAAUAUAAUUAUUAAUAGGGACUGUCCAAAUACUUCAGCUAAGCAAAAUAGCGACCUCCAUAAAAAAGCAACCUGUAACUAUCUCUGAAAAUUUUGAAAAAAACUGAUGGUAACUGAUAAGCUGCUGCUAG